CCUGAGGCGGAAGGCGGGAAGUUUCCUGCUGUGGACACUAGGUAGGAGACAGGGUGGGAAUUAGAGUAGGAUUCAGACUCUGUCACCAACUUUGGAGUGCCUCUAGGCAAAUCCUGCUCCUCUGAGCCCAGGGUCCUCUGGGAAACGGGAGAUCCCAGUACCUGGCAUGUUUUCCGACUUGGAGGGUACUUGGGGCACUUGGCUGGGUAGCUCCCAGCCGGGGACUUAAAUUACUUCGGCCCUAGCUGACUCGGUGUGGAGAGCCCCAGGGCUCCUUGCCAUCCACCCCCAGUCUAAGGCUGAGCAUGGUGGACUUGAGUGCUUAACAGGUGGUAGGCGCCCAGGAUUGUGGGGCUGGCGUGCGUGCAAGCAAGGGUUGGGCCCUCUGGAGACGGCAGGAGGCUCCCACGCGCCCAGGGAGGCUCUGGGGGAAGGCACGCUACUAGGUCCGGCCCAGGGCGAUGUGAUCACUGGGGAUCCCGCUGUCCUCCGGACUAGCAGUCUCGAGUCCCGUGCGGUCCCCACCCAUAGGCUCCGCGGGCCGGAGGCCUGAAGCCCGAGAAGUGGAGCAGGGCUGGCGCGUUGCAUCCUGGGCGUUGUGGUUCUCGAGGGCCGUGGGCGGGUCCUCCGCGCGGGGUGCGCGGCUAUUGGGUACCGAAUGGGGCGCGUGCCGCCUCAGCCUGUGCACACGCCCUUUGCUCCCCUUAACGACGCGUCGGAGCGCCGCGGUGGGUCCCGCCCCGGCGUGCGUCAGCGAUUGGUGGAGGGGUGGGCCCCAGGGACGCGGCUGCUCGCGUAUUGGCUGGGGGCAGCAGGGUGGCUCGCGCACGCUCUUAAGGGGAGGUGCUCGGACCGCGGGGGCAGUGCUAAGAUGUCGGCAGCGGUCCCGGAGCUGAAGCAGAUCAGCCGGGUGGAGGCGAUGCGCCUGGGACCGGGCUGGAGUCACUCGUGCCACGCCAUGCUUUACGCUGCCAACCCCGGGCAGCUCUUCGGCCGCAUCCCCAUGCGCUUCUCGGUGCUGAUGCAGAUGCGCUUCGACGGGCUGCUGGGCUUCCCCGGGGGCUUUGUGGACCGGCGCUUCUGGUCGCUGGAGGACGGACUGAACCGGGUGCUUGGCCUGGGCCUCGGCUGCCUUCGCCUCACCGAAGCCGACUACCUGAGCUCGCACCUGACCGAGGGCCCGCACCGCGUCGUGGCGCACUUGUACGCUCGGCAGCUGACGCUGGAGCAGCUGCAUGCCGUGGAGAUUAGCGCGGUGCACUCGCGCGACCACGGCCUGGAGGUGCUGGGGCUCGUGCGGGUCCCGCUGUACACCCAGAAGGACCGAGUUGGUGGCUUUCCCAACUUCCUGAGCAAUGCCUUCAUCAGCACGGCCAAGUACCAGCUCCUCUUCGCCCUCAAGGUGCUUAACAUGAUGCCAGAGGAGAAGCUGGCUGAGGCCGUGGCUGCAGCCACGGAGAAGCAGAAGAAGGCCCUGGAGAAGCUGCUCCCGUCGUCUUCCUGAGGUUGCUCCUGUGCUGCGUGUCUGUCCCCCUCCCCUGGCUCUGUCUGUGCCUGUGGGCUGAGACUGGGCCCUGAAUUCCUGUGGGAAUGUCUCUGUUUGUCCCCAUCCUGACUGCCUGGGGCAAGUGGGCACCUCAUCUCCACUGCCCCGAGCAGUCAUGGUGCCAGCUGGGACCUCAGGUUGGUCAAUGGGUGGCCUGGGGGUGCCGGGCCUGGCCCUCUAAGCUCAGGACGUUUUCACCCACCUCUGCAAGUCUUGGACUGCUAGAGGCCCAGGUACCCCCGGUUCUUCAAGUGGGUAGGUGCACACGCAAUGAGAAGUUUGAUCUAGUGGAGGAUGCCUUUAUCUGGGCUACUUCUGCAUCCUGCCCCAGGCCCACCCUAGCUCAGGUGGGAUGUUAUAUUGUUAACCUUGGCUAUUGUUAGCUUUACUUCGUUAGAUUUCCUUUUCUGUGGUAUGUGAACUGUGGGUGAGGCUUCAAAACAGCUUUACCCCACUGGGGCUCAGUCUCUUAGGAUAGUCAGGGCCAUGGGCUCAGCUGUAGUUGUUGGAGAGGGACAGUUAAGUGGCUCCUCUGCUACUGUUUUUGGUUCUAACCGCAGGCCCAGGGCUGGGCACAGGAGGUCAUCUCCGUCCUCUUCCCACUACCCAGGACUUGAGGACAGGGCCAGGCCAGGCCCCAAGAGUGCUGGGCACUGUUCGAGGGGCGAGCUGCCUCAGGACCCGUCUCAGUUGGGGGUGCUGUGUAUCCCUGUAUUUACCUGUGGCACUGCCAGCCUCCGACCUCUUUGGGCCAUCAGCUUGGCCCGGGGCGUCUGCUGAGACCAUCCAUGUGAGGCCCUGUUCCUGACCCGGAUGGCUCUGGCUGUACCUGGUCUGAGCCUGCUGCUGUUUCCUGUGCUUUGAAAGCCUCCCUUUCUCCAUUCCCAGUAUGGUCUGCAGGCAGCUCCCCGGGAUGGUCUGGAGACACCACAGGCAGGAAGGUCACCACUGGCGGUCUGUGGCCCUGUGUCUGGCAAGACUCCUCAGUGAAGCUACUGGGAAGUUUCCACAGUGCCUGCCCCGCCUGGCCUCUGAUCUACCUUAGAGCCUCGAUGAAGCAGCCACACUGGGCAGAGGCACUUCACUCUCAAAUACCAUGCUGCCCAGGCGCCCCAGUCCUCACCCAUCAGGGCAAGCCUGAGUGUGGCGCCUGCUGUGCGUGGGGACAUGCCCUCUCCC